AGGCAGCUUGGCCGAGUGGUUAAGGCGACAGACUAGAAAUCUGUUGGGAUUCUCCCGCGCAGGUUCGAAUCCUGCAGCUGUCG